AUUUAACGCUGCCGGCAGGCCUAACCCAUGCAAGUCGAGCGAGCGGCGGACGGGUGAGGAAUGUAUGGGGACUGCCCGAUAGAGGGGGAUAACUACUGGAAAAGGUAGCUAAUAACGCAUACUAUCGGAUAACCCAUAGGGGAGUAGCUAGUAGGUGAGGUAAUGGCUCACCUAGGCGACGAUCACUAGCUGGUCUGCGAGGAUGAUCAGCCCCAGUGGGACUGAGACACGGCCCAGAGUCCUACGGAGGCAGCAGUGGGGAAUAUUGCACAAUGGGCGCAAGCCUGAUGCAGCCAUGCCGCGUGUAUGAAGAAGGCCCUAGGGUUGUAAAGUACUUUCAGUCGGGAGGCGUUACCGAAAGAAGAAGCACCGGCUAACUCCGUGCCAGCAGCCGCGGUAAUAC
rnacentral:rRNA from 1 species